GACAGAGGAGCCAAGCGUUGUCCGGAUUGACUGGGCGUAAAGCGCACGCAGGCGGUCGCGCGCGGGGGGUGUGAAAACUGGCGGCUUAACUGCCAGAGGCCAUCCCAUACGGCGUGACUCGAGCCAUGCAGAGGUCCACGGAAUUGCCGGUGUAGUGGUGAAAUGCGUAGAGAUCGGCAGGAACACCCAGGGGGAAACCAGUGGACUGGGCAUGGGCUGACGCUCAGGUGCGAAAGCGUGGGGAGCGAACCGG
rnacentral:rRNA from 1 species